rnacentral:lncRNA from 1 species
UGCCCUACUCUUCUUCUCCUAGACUGCUCGAGCGCUUCAGCGGGUGCCUUGCCGACGACGGGGAAGGAAGGACCAGAGUAAGUAUAAUAUGGAAGUUCCUGUUCAAAUUAGUAGAAUAUGCUUACCAGGGGUUAGAAUUUAUAGAUAUAUACCAAUUUGUCACUACAGAUUACAUAUAAUAUGAAAGUUCUUGUCAGUUUUCUUUGUAGUUAGUUUGCGACAAUCACAACAUGAUCAUUUGAAUAUUUUGUUGUAACAAAUCUAUUAUAGCUAUUGUUGUGAAAGAAAAAUCCUUAAAAAAUCACCCAAUAGCAACCCGAGGAAGUUAAGAGACAUAAAUGAUCCAGAUAUGGUUCCAUUAUGCUCCCUCUGUUCGAUAAUAUAUGACGUUUUCUGGCAGUACACAAUGCCAAAAACGUCUUAUAUUAUGGGACAGAAGCGAGUUUGUGAUUCUUUUGGUUAUUCUUGAUUCCACAUGCUUCAUUUGGGUGAAUAAUCCAUUGGCAUCCAAAUUUGGAGAUUAAUUCACCUAUGUAAUGUGCAUAAUCAAUGACACAUUUUUGCUAUGAUGAAUAUGUAAAUAAAUUUUGUACAAUUCCAUAAAUACACAGUUAAGCAUUUUUGUUGUAAAGAUAAUGUAGAUAAUUUUUUAUAGCUUUGCAAAUAAGAUUAACCUUGGUGUAUAAAUCCGAUCAGAGUAGAGGUAGCUAUGCAAUGGUCUUGCGUCACAUCAUUAGUCCAAGGCUCUAACCACAUUCAUGGAGAAUCUAACAUCCCAACUACGCAUAUCUGUUUGUUCCAGAAGCCACGAAAUUGAGGUACGCAGAAGAUGAACAAACCUGAGAAGUGAUGAUCGAAUGAAGAGUCGGAGCUCGAGCAUCACAUAGUCGUCAGCUAUGGUGGCUUGUGGGCGGAUGUUUCUCAGACCUAAGUUGUUGCCGCUGGACCGUGGUUACAUUCAUCCUAGCUUGGAGGAAACGGUGUGGGUGGGUAUGCAUGUGCAGGGCGAAGAAGUGGACGAAGGCCGAAGAAGCAAUCUCUGCCUCCCUAUCGCUGCGUCCUGCUCCUCAAUAUGUCACCUUAGUCAUGGCCGCCUUAUCCCUCAUGCUGCUGAUUUGAAUCUGCCCUACUCUUCUUCUCCUAGACUGCUCGAGCGCUUCAGCGGGUGCCUUGCCGACGACAGGGAAGGAAGGACCAGAGUAAGUAUAAUAUGGAAGUUCCUGUUCAAAUUAGUAGAAUAUGCUUACCAGGGGUUAGAAUUUAUAGAUAUAUACCACAAUUUUCACUACAGAUUAUAUAUAAUGUGAAACUUCUUGUCAGUUUUCUUUGUAGUUAGUUUGCGACAAUCACAACAUGAUCAUUUGAAUAUUUUGUUGUAACAAAUCUAUUAUAGCUAUUGUUGUGAAAGAAAAAUCCUUAAAAAAUCACCCAAUAGCAACCCGAGGAAGUUAAGAGACAUAAAUGAUCCAGAUAUGGUUCCAUUAUGCUCCCUCUGUUCGAUAAUAUAUGACGUUUUCUGGCAGUACACAAUGCCAAAAACGUCUUAUAUUAUGGGACAGAAGCGAGUUUGUGAUUCUUUUGGUUAUUCUUGAUUCCACAUGCUUCAUUUGGGUGAAUAAUCCAUUGGCAUCCAAAUUUGGAGAUUAAUUCACCUAUGUAAUGUGCAUAAUCAAUGACACAUUUUUGCUAUGAUGAAUAUGUAAAUAAAUUUUGUACAAUUCCAUAAAUACACAGUUAAGCAUUUUUGUUGUAAAGAUAAUGUAGAUAAUUUUUUAUAGCUUUGCAAAUAAGAUUAACCUUGGUGUAUAAAUCCGAUCAGAGUAGAGGUAGCUAUGCAAUGGUCUUGCGUCACAUCAUUAGUCUAAGGCUCUAACCACAUUCAUGGAGAAUCUAACAUCCCAACUACGCAUAUCUGUUUGUUCCAGAAGCCACGAAAUUGAGGUACGCAGAAGAUGAACAAACCUGAGAAUUGAUGAUCGAAUGAAGAGUCGGAGCUCGAGCAUCACAUAGUCGUCAGCUAUGGUGGCUUGUGGGCGGAUGUUUCUCAGACCUAAGUUGUUGCCGCUGGACCGUGGUUACAUUCAUCCUAGCUUGGAGGAAACGGUGUGGGUGGGUAUGCAUGUGCAGGGCGAAGAAGUGGACGAAGGCCGAAGAAGCAAUCUCUGCCUCCCUAUUGCUGCGUCCUGCUCCUCAAUAUGUCACCUUAGUCAUGGCCGCCUUAUCCCUCAUGCUGCUGAUUUGAAUCUGCCCUACUCU